rnacentral:rRNA from 1 species
GGCUUAGAUACCCUGGUAGUCCACCCCGUAAACGUUGGGAACUAGUUGUGGGGACCAUUCCACGGUUUCCGUGACGCAGCUAACGCAUUAAGUUCCCCGCCUGGGGAGUACGGCCGCAAGGCUAAAACUCAAAGGAAUUGACGGGGACCCGCACAAGCGGCGGAGCAUGCGGAUUAAUUCGAUGCAACGCGAAGAACCUUACCAAGGCUUGACAUAUACGAGAACGGGCCAGAAAUGGUCAACUCUUUGGACACUCGUAAACAGGUGGUGCAUGGUUGUCGUCAGCUCGUGUCGUGAGAUGUUGGGUUAAGUCCCGCAACGAGCGCAACCCUCGUUCUAUGUUGCCAGCACGUAAUGGUGGGAACUCAUGGGAUACUGCCGGGGUCAACUCGGAGGAAGGUGGGGAUGACGUCAAAUCAUCAUGCCCCUUAUGUCUUGGGCUUCACGCAUGCUACAAUGGCCGGUACAAAGGGCUGCAAUACCGUAAGGUGGAGCGAAUCCCAAAAAGCCGGUCCCAGUUCGGAUUGAGGUCUGCAACUCGACCUCAUGAAGUCGGAGUCGCUAGUAAUCGCAGAUCAGCAACGCUGCGGUGAAUACGUUCCCGGGUCUUGUACACACCGCCCGUCAAGUCAUGAAAGU